ensembl:lncRNA
CAAUGGCCAGGAAAAACAUAGCUAGGCGGAAUCCCAAACAAAGAUGCUGAGAGAAGAAAGGCAGAGUCAGAGAGAUGCCAUGUAGCCACCAGGAGAGCAAGAUGUGAGUCCCAGAUAAUACUUUGGAAAGGCUCUACAGCCCCUGUGACUCGUGGUGGAUCCACACAUCAAAGCCCAGACCAGAAUCCAGCCUUCUCUCCUUCCCACAUGCUGAGCUGCUGGGUGUCCUGGCACCACCAGGGGAAGCAGGGGGCUCUGCUCUAUAAGCACUGUGAUGGUGGCUUCCAAUGGCAAGCCAGUGUGCUUUCCAGUGAGAAGAAGAUGAACAAAAAGCUUUUCUGCUGUUUGGCACAGAUUGAGAAGUCAAUGGGAAGACUGGGCUGGUGUCCCAAGCCUAUGCCACUCUCAAGUCACCAGGUGGAGGCAGUUUACAGACUCUGUGUUUAGAGCCACAUGGUGGAAACCAGAACAGACUUUCACUUGUGGCAUGGUGGGCUUUCCUGGAUGAGAAUAGGAAAACCCCCUCCGUGGAUUUGCAAUGCAGGGCUUGAAAAUGAUUCACCUUCAAGGGCAGAUCUGGGUGUUCAAAGAUAUAAUGGAAUCCUCCCAGUCUAAGGUGAUUCAUGAAAACCAUCUUACAAGCAUCCCAGAACAAUGGAACAAUUUCAGAAGAAAACAACAGAUUGCUUGAAUGGAAACACUCAUCUUCAGGGAAGUCUAGAGCUAUUGUUCAAAAAAUGACACAGUGCCGCACAGGGCGUUGGGACUGGUGGACAGAAAACAGGCUUGAAAAUGUGAGGAUGUACAUGAAACAGGCUCUGAGGGGCACAGAGACAGGUGACAUCCCCAUGGAAACCGUUGGAGGAUGUGCCAGAGCUCCAGAGAGCUCACACGGGUGAUGGCCAGCUGGACCCGAAGGAAAGGAAGCAGCAGGGAGAAAGGGAAGUCACCAAGUUUUGCAGUCAGAGCUGGCUGGAAGAGGCUCACGAAUGCUUAAGGUGAGCUCUCGUGUCCUUCAGAAGACUUGAGGAAGAAAACCAAAAACUAACUCCUAAUAUCACAUGAAGAGAAUGAAAUGACUGAAUUGCUUCCAAGUGAGCAGCUUUGUCACUUGGAACUCACACCCCAGUGAUGGGAUGGGAAAAUCUGGGCUGAAACUUGAGGUUCCUCAAGGGUGGAUAAUGCAAUAUCGGGAAAAUCUACCGAGGAAAUCCCCUGCUCCAGUCCAGGCAGAUGGACCCAACAGCAAACAAUCUCAAGCUGCAUGUGUUAGAAGGGCAACAGGAAAAUGGCACAAUGUGACCAAAUAUUGGAGGAAAACACUUCCUGUAUUAAAAUGAGACUGUCUUCUGCUCAAGAUAGCUGGGCCAUAACUCUGUCAGCAUGAGGCUCAACAAAGUCAAGAAAAGUCAAGUCUAGAAAGAGAUACUGGCUGUGGACUAUUAGAGUCUCCAUCUCUCCCAGGGGGCCCUUUGGCUCCUACUAGGCCCUGAAGCUCAGGCUCUUCAUUUCUUCCCUUGUCUUCAGCAAUCCCAUUUCAUAGCUACCUCACCUGGACCAGCACAUCCCCCUUGCACAAGAGUACUUCAGCAAGGUUUGCUUGGUAAUGGUCAUUUUGAGAAAACUACAAUUGUGAAAACAAUUACUGAAUUUGUACUGUGGCACUAGCAAGUAGCCUAGGCACCAAGUACUGGUGACAUGAAGGUGUUAACAGGAACCACAGGACCUUCUGUGUGGUUGAAGACCUAAGAGUGUGUCUCAUAGAUUUCCUGAGCACCCAGAGAGGCUGUGAAUUGCACUCCAGAUUUUGCUUGUUGUCUAUCCAGGGCCCUCUGUCUCCCCAAGGAAGGAGUCGGUGUCCCAGGAUGUUGGGGCCUCUAGACAGGCCAGAUUUUCCCUGUGUGUGCAUCUCUUGACCAGCUUUGACUGAUAGACUCCUGCAAAGGGCCAGAGAUCUUCUUUCACUAAAAUGCUCUGAGGUUCUAGCCCAUGCUGAGGCACUGGGUCUGCAGCUGGUAUUGAAGAGGGGCCCUGAGAGGUGACGGGAAGGCAGGCUUUGGGUGCGUCUUUUCCACCCAUGGGCAUCCUGUCCUUCUAAGUCUGAAUUUCUUUUCCAAGCCCAAAGGAAAUAAAAAUGAACCAUUUUCAUUCGGGAAUAAUUGUGUCAGUUGAGAGCAACUUUGCCCAAGCAAUGAUUUCGUCUCUGUUCUGUGUCUGGGGUCCUCAGUCAGGCCCUUGGAGGGUUGUACUCACCCUGGAGUCCCUCAUGCUCAAGGAAGUGCUAGAUAUUCGAUGAGUGCUCAAAAAAUAGUUGUGAGAUGCAGAGAUAAAUUGUGGGCUGGGAAACAGCUCAGUCAAGUGUAAGGCUGGGACCCUGGUUUUAACCCCAGAACUCAUGUAAACCAGCUGGGUGUGGUGACAUGCAAUUGUCCCAAUGCUGAGGAGUCAGAGAAGGCAGAUUCCAGCUAGCCUAGCGAAAUCUUCGGAUUCCAGGUAAAAGUGAGAGACACUGUUCCAAAAGAAAAGCAAUAGGAACAAAGCACCAAGAUGUCUAGAUGGCUCCUUGAAUAAUGACCUCUAGAUUCCUCCUCAAAUGUGCACACAUGUGUUUCCCACCCCCGUGCACACAUGAACAAUACAUAUUUGCCAAGUAAUUUGCAUCAUAUACUGAAAUCACAGAUGCCACAAAUAAUUCGCUAAUAAAUUUGUUUCUCCAUUGGAAGUCUUAGUCCUGAAUAGAUGAAUGGAUGCUGCUGUUUUCAAAUGGAAAUUUGCCAGGAGGGUGCAGAAGUUUUAGCCCAACUCACUCUCCCCUGUGGACAAAUCCAUCCAAGGCCAUUGGGUACAGAGGGGACCAGCAACACUGUAUUUAUACAUAAAAGGGCAACAUCUAUUUUAUUGUCGAUACCACUUCAACAAAAUUAAUUUCCCUUGGGGAUUUUGUAUUUUAAUGUUUUAAUAUACUAUCCAUCACAUAAUAAAUAAUGGUUUUCUU